UACGGGGGGGGGCAAGCGUUGUUCGGAAUUACUGGGCGUAAAGCGCGUGUAGGCGGCUCUUCAAGUCGAGUGUGAAAGCUCCAGGCUUAACCUGGGAAUUGCGCUCGAUACUGUUGAGCUAGAGUGUGGGAAGGGGCUACUGGAAUUCCGUGUGUAGCGGUGAAAUGCGUAGAUAUACGGAGGAACACCUGCGGCGAAGCGGGUAGCUGGGCCAACACUGACGUGAGACGCGAAAGCUAGGGGAGCAAACGGG
rnacentral:rRNA from 1 species